CAGGAAAUGAAAGGAGGAACAAAAAGCAGUUGGGGAAGAUUUGCUGGAAUCUCAGCAGGUCCCUCCUGGGAACCUGUUGGCCACCGGGAUUCAAUCUGGUGGCUUUGGAAACGUUUCAAACACCGCGGCACGUCCAGGAGUCCAUCUGUCAGAGCAAGGACAGGAUGGAGUCGUCCCUGGUCACCUGAAAUACGGCUGGAGCUGUCACAUAUCGGGGCUGGAUCAAUGCAGAGCUCCCUCAAUGCCGGCUGGAACACUUUGUGCAUUGAUGGGAUUUGCAUUAGAGAGAUAUACAGCACUUCAGGGAGGAGGAGUGGGAAUUCUGCU
ensembl:lncRNA